CGUGGUGGGAGGGCUCAGUACCCGGAUGGUUUAUCCUGAAGGGGAAGCUAACGUACCCAAACUUUUGUGUCGCGUUUCGAAUCGUCGUACUCGUUCCGUCGUAAUUUCAUAACAUAAUAAAACGCGCGUCGGGAGUGCGGGAGUGCCGUUUUACCGGGAGUGCCGUGACAGUGUCGCGCGAGUACGAAACGCCGUAUUCUAGCCAGUGAUGCGCUGUCGUGGAAAUAAAGUUGCGUCUGCGCACUAAGCAAACGCUUUGAACCCUCAGUAAUUCACUCUCUUUUUUCACAAUAUCAGCUGAUUUCAAUUGUAAUUGAUUAUAAUGCACUAUAAUAUGUCGUGUUUCACUAAAAACGCGGGAAAACUAUCAUAUCCCCUAUAGUACACCUAGAUACAUCUGUGGUAGCAGUCGACGUCUAGCUGUGACGUCAGCUUACGCAUGCGCAUGGAGGUUCUAUCCGGGAAAAAAUUUCACGACAGCGCAUCACUGAUUCUAGCGAAUCUUAAGACGAACGCAUUCUGUCAAAUGAUACAAUAAAUAUUGGGACACGAUCGCGAACCUCUUUCGAGGGGGGCUUUCUUCUCGACUUUUGGCUUGGCUCGAGGGAGGGAAGGAUCGAUUUUUAUCAUGGGAUCCCGACUGGAUCGGACUCCCUCAGCCCGCUAACAUAUGUCAUGCAUGGAGUUGCUUAAUUGCAACGAUGUAACAUAUGAUCGACGGCAUUGAAGUCAACCCAGCGACUUUGCUAGUUCCGUCUGUUUGGCACCGAAAUGCUGCUGGGAUGCUCUGUAUCCGAUCGGUUGACCCCAUGACUAAUCGCACCCCUUACCUUCUUCGGGCUUAUGCCUUCUGCUUUGAGAGAAUCGUGCCCCAAUUGAAAAGUGCGGUCGUCUGAAACGCGGACGGGAUUCGCGCGUAACGUCGCAUCUUGGACAAUUCGGUUCGAUUCACUUGCGACGUCGGGAAUGCCGUUUAAAGUAAGUCGAGCGAUUUUCGUAUUCGGGUACGCACGCGAGCAAGGCGUGCGCCGCGAACGCGUGUGAGUUAGUGUGGGUUAGUGUGAGUGAGUGCCUCAAAGGACCACUGACAACGAGAGGAGGAGGAGGCCUAGGAGGCAUCAGGCGUCAGCAGAGCAUCGAAACGAUCGAUUGGAUUACAACUUCGCUGUGCUGCACAUCGUGCCGAAAAAAAAGAAUAUCUGCGACGAGAUCAUCCGAGCAGGAGAAUCGUGGAUAACAGAGAUAUGAUAAGGUAAGAA